UUCAGGCCUCAGCAGAGCAGCUCACACAUAGCCAACGCCGGGAAAGUGAAAUCUGGGAAUGUCAGGAGCCUACUGCGUCCUGUGGGCUGGACCACGCGGUGUGGAGGAAAGGAGGCUGGCAGUCAUGGACAGAUGAAACAGAAUAUUCUCCAGAGUGUGGAGGAGUCAGAGGUGGAUGUCAGCCCUGAACAGACAGGAAGAAACGUACAUCUGGGCAAGCAGCACUGGUCCUGGUUCUGCUGCAUCCUGUUGAGCUUUUGAGUCCUUAAGAAGACCCUGUGAAGGAGGACAUUAUUCAGAUCUUCAUGUUAUGUCAGAAGAAACUCAAAAUGGCUGUGUGCCAGGGUUAACAUAAUGGGUAAGUGGCAGAGCGAAGAUGUGAACCAGGCUCUCCACCUUCACAGCCUUGGUGUUAAUUAAAGAAUGAAUG